rnacentral:rRNA from 1 species
CCUACGGGAGGCAGCAGUGAGGAAUAUUGGUCAAUGGGCGCGAGCCUGAACCAGCCAAGUAGCGUGAAGGAUGACUGCCCUACGGGUUGUAAACUUCUGUUAUAAAGGAAUAAAGUGAGGCACGUGUGCCUUUUUGUAUGUACUUUAUGAAUAAGGAUCGGCUAACUCCGUGCCAGCAGCCGCGGUAAUACGGAGGAUCCGAGCGUUAUCCGGCUUUAUUGGGUUUCAAGGGAGCGUAGAGGGGUUGUUAAGUCAGUUGGGAAAGUUUGCGGCUCAACCGUAAAAUUGCAAUUGAUACUGGCAGCCUUUAGUACAGUUGCGGUCGUCGGAAUUCUUGUUGUAGCGGUUAUAUGCU